GAUAUUAUUUGGCUCCUUGACAAGUUACGUGGUAUGGCGCCUUGCAUAAAGGAUGUUAAUAAUAAAAUAAAAUCAAUAUUAAAAAAUCAAUAGUCUUGGCCUUGUUUUUGUAGGAAUACCUGUUCAAGGUAUGAAAAUAUAUGAUGUGACGUAUUUUCAUGUACUAUAAUUAACAUCUAUCGGGCUAUUUAAAACAUGAUUUAACCUAUCUUAUCGAAUGAAACAAAUUGCCGGCAAAUUGGCUCUACCUCUUUGA
rnacentral:lncRNA from 1 species